rnacentral:rRNA from 1 species
GAUGAACGCUGGCGGCGUGCCUAACACAUGCAAGUCGAACGGAGUUACUUUGACAGAUCCCUUCGGGUGACGUUGAUUUAACUUAGUGGCGGACGGGUGAGUAACGCGUGAGCAACCUGCCUCGGAGAGGGGGACAACAGCUGGAAACGGCUGCUAAUACCGCAUAACGUAUCAUUUUCGCAUGAUUAUGAUACCAAAGGAGAAAUCCACUCUGAGAUGGGCUCGCGUCUGAUUAGCUAGUUGGUGGGUAACGGCCUACCAAGGCGACGAUCAGUAGCCGGACUGAGAGGUUGAACGGCCACAUUGGGACUGAGAUACGGCCCAG